CUUAAAAUAUCAUCGAUACGAUAUUUUUAAAAUACUCGACAAUCCUAGUUGUGCCCUUCAUCAGAAUACUUCACGAAAUAAUAUUUAUAUCACUCGCUCUCUACCCUUUCAUUUUCUGACAAUUUCAUUCUGAAACUAAAGUAAAAUAAUAUAAAAUUGUGUUACUCGUUUCAGGAAUUUAGUUAGUAUGAUAUAGAAAGUAUUCAACAUGAACAUGAGAAAGAAAGAGAGACAAAGGGAGAGAGAGAGAGAGAGAGAGAGAGAGAUCUAUUACCCCAUCUUCUCCAAACUCCGCAUAUGUAGAUUUCCACAAAUAUGCGUAAAUCAAGCGAAAUCUGUUAAGCACCCCUCGCCAUCGCCUUGCCGCCUCCUUCCCAUAAAUGCCUCAAGUUUUUGGGUAAUUUAUUUGUUUGUGUUUACGCUCAGCCCGGCUUUGAGCUACUUAAGUAAUCGAAAUAAAUAAGCACAAAUAGUUGAGCAGCAGUUGAGGCAUGGCCUAUUGCGUUGCCAAAUACUCGUGUUUGCCGAAUA